rnacentral:lncRNA from 1 species
AUGCAUAUCUCACUAUGGUAUGAUGUCUUUAAGUCUUUCAGGAAGAUAUCUAGAAAGGGAAUACCUGAGUCAAAUGGAAUAUCUACUUUUAUUUUUUGAGGAAUCUCCAUGCUGAUUUCCAUAGUGAUUGCAUCAUACAUUCCCACCAGCAAUGAAGAAGGGAUCCUUUUCUCCUGUAGCCUCUCCAGCAUUCCCCCCAUCCCCCUACACCGGUACCAGGCAUUGAACUCAGGACCUUGCACUUGCCAAACAGGAUUCGGACCCUCUCCAUAGCUGUGGCAGCAGUUGGGAAGGCAGCUGACUGAACAGAGAACCUUAUCUCUUUCCAACCUCUCCCGACUAUUGUAAAUAUCAAAUUAAGUCAUUUACACCCUUUGGAAAGAUCUAAAAUGCUAUACAAAUGUAAGGUAUGUUUUUCCUAUUAUUUUUCCUUUCCCCUUAUGAAUAAGACCCUAAAAACAGAGAGAAGUUAUUUUUAGCUUUUACUCCUCGGAAUCAAGUUUACAGUGUAUUAUUGUAAAUUCCAAAUUAGGUUUUGCUAUUCAAAUAGUAUUCUUGGAGGAGGUGGUGAACUUACACCAGGAGUGUGAAUAUGAAUCUUGG